UACGGAGGGUGCGAGCGUUGUCCGGAAUCAUUGGGCGUAAAGGGCGCGUAGGUGGCCCGGUCAGUUCGUGGUGAAAGCGCGGGGCUCAACCCUGCGUCGGCCAUGAAUACUGCCGCGGCUGGAGCACUGUAGAGGCAGGCGGAAUUCCGGGUGUAGCGGUGGAAUGCGUAGAGAUCCGGAAGAACACCGGUGGCGAAGGCGGCCUGCUGGGCAGU
rnacentral:rRNA from 1 species